AGAGUUUGAUCCUGGCUCAGGGUUAACGCUGGCGGCGUGCCUAACACAUGCAAGUCGAACGGUUCUAAGCGCGAGCUUAGGAUAGUGGCGAACGGGUGAGUAAAAGGUAGGAAUCUACCCCUUGGACGGAGAUAGCUACUGGAAACGGUAGGUAAACUUCGAUAAGCCCGAGAGGGGAAAGUGGUGAGACAGCCGAGGGAUGAGCCUACUCUCCAUCAGGUAGUUGGUGAGAUAAAAGCUUACCAAGCCGAUGACGGAUAACCGGUGUGAGAGCAUGAACGGUCACAAGGGCACUGAGAGACGGGCCCUACUCCUACGGGAGGCAGCAGUGGGGAAUCUUGGACAAUGGGCGAAAGCCUGAUCCAGCGACGCCGCGUGGAGGAAGAAGUCCUUCGGGAUGUAAACUUCUGAACUAGCCGAAUAAAAGGCCUGUGGACACACAGGAGAAGAAAGUAGGCUAGGAAAAGUCCCGGCUAACUACGUGCCAGCAGCCGCGGUAAGACGUAGGGGGCAAGCGUUACCCGGAAUUACUGGGCGUAAAGGGGGCGUAGGCGGUAAAAGAAGUCAUCUGUGAAAACCUAUUGCUCAACGAUAGGCUAGCGGAUGAAACUGAAUUACUUGAGGGCACCAGAGGUAGACGGAAUUACCCGAGUAGGGGUGAAAUCCGCAGAUACGGGUAGGAACGCCGGUGGAGAAGUCGGUCUACUGGGGUGCACCAGACGCUGAGGCCCGAAAGCUAGGGGAGCAAACCGGAUUAGAUACCCGGGUAGUCCUAGCCGUAAACGAUGCUCACUAGGUGUAGGGAGUGAUAAACUCUCUGUGCUGAAGCGAACGCGCUAAGUGAGCCGCCUGGGGAGUACGUCCGCAAGGAUGAAACUCAAAGGAAUUGACGG
rnacentral:rRNA from 1 species